CCAUCAACAUCUUUGAGACUCUGUCUGGGCGGUAAACCUGAUUGAUUCGCCUGCUAUUCGGCAUCACCGCCAUGAGCAGAAAGGCUUGCAAUGAACUGUUUCCAGGUGCAGUUCUGAUGUUCUUGAUCUUGCCAAUUCUGUGUAAGGAUCAGACCUCACAGGUUAACCAAGAGCUAUCUCUGGAAGGGGAACCGGUUGAAUUACAUUGUCAACUCUCCAUUGCUGCUGGUGAUAAUGUAGCCUGGUACAAACAAACACUAACAAGAGCUCCAACAUUUCUCGGCUACAUAUACAAAGGCAACAUGACAAUUGGCCGCUACACACUUUCAUUUGAGAGAGCAAAGAAGACUAAUACCAUUUCUAUAGAUCGCAGUCUGUUCGAGGACACUGGAGUGUAUUAUUGCGCUACGUGGGCACAGUGA